rnacentral:rRNA from 1 species
AACGAACGCUGGCGGCAGGCCUAACACAUGCAAGUCGAGCGAGACCUUCGGGUCUAGCGGCGGACGGGUUAGUAACGCGUGGGAACGUGCCCUUCUCUGCGGAAUAGCCACUGGAAACGGUGAGUAAUACCGCAUACGCCCUUCGGGGAAAGAUUUAUCGGAGAAGGAUCGGCCCGCGUUAGAUUAGAUAGUUGGUGGGGUAACGGCCUACCAAGUCUACGAUCUAUAGCUGGUUUUAGAGGAUGAUCAGCAACACUGGGACUGAGACACGGCCCAGACUCCUACGGGAGGCAGCAGUGGGGAAUCUUAGACAAUGGGCGCAAGCCUGAUCCAGCCAUGCCGCGUGAGUGAUGAAGGCCUUAGGGUCGUAAAGCUCUUUCGCCAGAGAUGAUAAUGACAGUAUCUGGUAAAGAAGUCCCGGCUAACUCCGUG